rnacentral:rRNA from 1 species
AAGCGGAGGAAAAGAAACUAACAAGGAUUCCCCUAGUAGCGGCGAGCGAAGCGGGAAGAGCUCAAAUUUAUAAUCUGGCACCUUCGGUGUCCGAGUUGUAAUCUCUAGAAGUGUUUUCCGCGUUGGACCGCACACAAGUCUGUUGGAAUACAGCGGCAUAGUGGUGAAACCCCCGUAUAUGGUGCGGACGCCCAGCGCUUUGUGAUACACUUUCAAUGAGUCGAGUUGUUUGGGAAUGCAGCUCAAAUUGGGUGGUAAAUUCCAUCUAAAGCUAAAUAUUGGCGAGAGACCGAUAGCGAACAAGUACCGUGAGGGAAAGAUGAAAAGCACUUUGGAAAGAGAGUUAACAGUACGUGAAAUUGUUGGAAGGGAAACGCUUGAAGUCAGACUUGCUUGCCGGAGCUUGCUUCGGUUUGCAGGCCAGCAUCAGUUUUCCGGGGUGGAUAAUAACGGUUUGAAGGUAGCAGUCUCGGCUGUGUUAUAGCUUUCCGUUGGAUACAUCCUGGGGGACUGAGGAACGCAGCGUGCUUUUUGCGAAAGACUCGUCUUUUUCACGCUUAGGAUGCUGGUGGAAUGGCUUUAAACGACCCGUCUUGAAA